rnacentral:rRNA from 1 species
GCCGAGGCCGAAAGGCGUAGGUGAUGGACAACAGGUUGAUAUUCCUGUACCACCACGAAUCGUUAUGACGAUGGGGUGACGGAGAAGGAUAGCUGGGCGGGGUUCUGGACGUCCCCGUGAAAGCGUGUAGGGUGCGCAUGCAGGUAAAUCCGCAAGCGCUUAUGCCUGAGACGUGAGACGAAGCUCUAAGUGAAGUCAGUGAUUCCCUGCUUCCAAGAAAAACCUCUAAGCAGAUAUCGUGGUGCCCGUACCAAAACCGACACAGGUAGGCGGGUAGAGUAUACCAAGGCGAUCGGGAGAACUAUGGUUAAGGAACUCGGCAUAAUGACUCCGUAACUUCGGGAGAAGGAGUGCCGCUCAUGGGUGAUAGGGCAUGCCCCUAAAAGCCUAGGGCGGUCGCAGUGAAACGGCCCAAGCGACUGUUUAUCAAAAACACAGGACUCUGCUAAGUCGCAAGACGAUGUAUAGGGUCUGACGCCUGCCCGGUGCUGGAAGGUUACGUGGAUGGGUUAGCCUUUCUAGGCGAAGCUCUGAAACUAAGCCCCAGUAAACGGCGGCCGUAACUAUAACGGUCCUAAGGUAGCGAAAUUCCUUGUCGGGUAAGUUCCGACCUGCACGAAUGGCGUAACGAUUUGGGCGCUGUCUCAACCAUAGACCCGGUGAAAUUGUAUUAUUCGUGAAGAUGCGAAUUACCCACGGAAGGACGGAAAGACCCCGUGAACCUUCACUACAGCUUGACAUUGAUCAUUGGUUCUGUGUGUAGAGGAUAGGUGGGAGACCGUGAAGCACGAGCGCCAGCUCGUGUGGAGUCAUCCUUGGAAUACCACCCUCACAGUAUUGGUGAUCUAACGCGGCGCCGUUAUCCGGGUCGCGGACCGUGUCAGGUGGGUAGUUUGACUGGGGCGGUCGCCUCCUAAAAGGUAACGGAGGCGUACGUAAGGUUUGCUCAGAACGGUUGGCAAUCGUUCGUAGAGUACAAGAGUAUAAGCAAGCUUGACUGCGAGACCUACAAGUCGAGCAGAGACGAAAGUCGGUUCUAGUGAUCCGGCGGCUCAGAGUGGAAUGGCCGUCGCUCAACGGAUAAAAGGUACUCCGGGGAUAACAGGCUGAUCUUGCCCA